GGGCCCGUAGCUCAGNGGUUAGAGCAGGGGACUCAUAAUCCCUUGGUCGCAGGUUCGAAUCCUGCCGGGCCCANNA
rnacentral:tRNA from 1 species